UGCGUAGGCGGCGCGGAAAGUUGGGUGUGAAAUCCCUCGGCUCAACCGAGGAACUGCGCCCAAAACUACCGUGCUCGAGGGAGAUAGAGGUGAGCGGAACUUAGGGUGGAGCGGUGAAAUGCGUUGAUAUCCUAAGGAACACCGGUGGCGAAAGCGGCUCACUGGAUCUCUUCUGACGCUGAGGCACGAAAGCUAGGGGAGCAAACG
rnacentral:rRNA from 1 species